rnacentral:rRNA from 1 species
UACGGAGGGGGCUAGCGUUGUUCGGAAUUACUGGGCGUAAAGCGCACGUAGGCGGCCCAGUCAGUUGGGGGUGAAAUCCCGGGGCUCAACCCCGGAACUGCCUCCAAAACUGCUGGUCUGGAGGUCGAGAGAGGCGAGUGGAAUUCCGAGUGUAGAGGUGAAAUUCGUAGAUAUUCGGAGGAACACCAGUGGCGAAGGCGGCUCGCUGGCUCGAUACUGACGCUGAGGUGCGAAAGCGUGGGGAGCAAACAGG